UGUGCAUGUGCGCAUGUGUGUAUAUGAAUAUGUGUGCAUGCACACAUAUAUGUACAGGAA
rnacentral:miRNA from 1 species